rnacentral:lncRNA from 1 species
CUCUUUUUUUUCCUUUUUCUUUUUUAGCUGUAUUUUAUCAUUUUAUGUAUAUGAGUGUUUUUCCUGUACAUAUGGUAUAUGCACCACAUGCAUGCUUGGUACCUACAGAGAUGAGAAGAUGGCAUUGGGUCUCCUGGGACUGGAGUUACCAGGCAUUGUAAACAGCCCAAGUGGGUGCUGGGAAUCAAACCCUGGUCUUCUGUAAAAACAAGUGCUAAGCUUAACCCCUGAGCCACCUCCAGCCCUUAGUACCCUCUUUGGCCUCAGAGGAUAACUGCACUUUUGUGCACAUACCUAUGUACAAAUACAUACACAUAAUUAAACAUAAAGUCUUUAACACUUUAAAAUCUGAUGUCUGCCGAAGGAUAGGUAAGAAGUAAGGCAUUCUAAUAAGAGUAAAUAUAUUUCAUAUGUACACUAAAACUAUUUUCAGGAAAUAGCCUUUUUAUUAACUGUCUUGAGAGAGAGGGGUAUGUAUGUGUAUGUAUGUAUGUGUAUGGGGGAAUGUGUGUAUUUAACGAAGAUAAAAGGAUUUAGACAAAAUUUCCUUUAUAAACUGAUUUCCUUUCAAAUUGGGUAGAAUAAGUAUCUGCAAGAUGCUCUUGACAAUGUGGGAAAGCCCUUAAGUGAAACAUUAUCAUAUACUUUACAUUAGUUAAUUUUGUUUGAAAAUGGACUGCCAGAUAGCAGUAGUAUUCAAAGAUCUUGCUAUUUCAGGAAAAGAAAGUUUGAGUUCAAGCGUUAAUAGAACAAAUGGUAAAGAAAGUUAACAGAAAAGAAUAUUCCUAAGCAGUCUGUGUGUCUAAGGCCAGUGGGUUGGUUUUGGGAAGUAUAAUUACAUAAUAGUAGUUCCAGACUUUUGGAUUUCAAGAGAGACAUUUCCCCCAAUGUUCAGAGGCAGUAGAAUUGCUAAUAACAGCAUUAGCAAAGGAGCCUGGCAUGGUGGCCCAUGUUUUUAGUCUCAGCACUUACAAGGUAGAGAAGGGAUUGCUAAGUUCAAGGCUAGGCUAGGCUACAGAGCAAGUUUAACGACAGCUAGGGUUACCUAGAAGAGACCGUGUCUCAAAAAACAAAAAGUAGUAAUGCUACUACUGUCUGUCACCAUCAUUGGUUCAUUUUUAGGUAUUUUAAUUUGAAAGAACAGAAUCUUAAAAGGCUGUGUUUUCAUCAUAUGUUCUGACCUGCCGCUUGCUUUUUGGUAAUAAGCAUUUUUUUCUACCACUCUACUUUGUGUUGUAUUCAUAUCAGUGAAACGUUAGUAACUGUGAGUCUGUGAGAGAAAACUUCCUAAUUUCAUGAAUUCAGGUGAAUUUAAGAGACAGAUUGCUGUGUUGCUAUUGUGACUUGUAACAAUAUCUCAGAAGCCACUGAAGCCAAAGGAGGAAUAGAAAGAGAUGAAUAUGAAUGGCUACCCUGUGAUAAAGAUGGAUGUUUGCUUACAGGGUGGGCUUCUUCUCUGCUGGGCAGCAGUCUAAAUACUUCACAUCUAUUAUCUUUGGAACAGUCUUUUGAGCUCAACUCAUCACUGCUUUACAGAAAUUGAGGCACACAGUGUGUGACUAGAAUGUAUUCCAGCGAGUGUAGUCGCAGAGGCCUGGCUGCAAGCAGACUGGUUCAGGACUCCAACAACUUUACUAUUUUUAUAUUUCUUUCUGUCUUAUUAUUGGGGAGGGGAGGCAUAUGUGGUGGUUAGAGGACUUUGUGAAGCAGCUUUUCUCAUACCUCUGUUUGGGUUCUAGGCUUGCUCAUCAGUGGAUGUUACCCAUGAGCCAUCUCACUGGCCUGAGUUCUCUGAGAAGGUCUCACUAUAUAGCCUUGGCUGGCCUUAACUUUAUAAUCUUCCUGCUCGGCCUCUGGUUACUCGGUUUACAGGUGUGUGCCACCUUGCCUAGCCUUUUACCAUGACUUUAAAUUCCAUUUAGAUGGAAUACUGAUUUAUUAGUGGUGUCUGUAUUAGCAAAACAAAAAACAGCUAUAAGAAGUGUUGACAAUUUUUUUCCAUAGAAAUGCAUAAGAAAAUGCCUGAGUUUUUAGUAUAGCUUUUUACAGCAGUCUUAUGGAAUAACAAGGACAUUACUAAGGUGUGGUGUUCAAGAAGAAAAUUUGUGGAGUGUUUGCCCUCUAAGCCUAGAUCUGUCUGUGAAGGCCUGCCCUUUGUCACACCCAGUAGUUAACCGAUACUCUGCGAAGUAGCUAUCAUGAGGACUUAAGAGGUUAACCCUGUGAAGAAAGAAAAUAAUCUAGGCACCUGCAAAGAAGAGGAAGUUUUGAAUUUGUGUUGGGGUAACCUAGAGGUUCUCACUCUUCCUUACUCUGUGACCCUUUAAUCCAGUUCCUCAUGUUGUGGUGAACCCCCAACCAUAAAGUUACUAUCAUUCUGCUACUGGAAUAGUAAAAUCUAUGUUUUCUGAUGUUUUUUGGGGGGUUACUACCCACAGGUUGAGGACCACUGGGGUAACCCUUUCUGAGAGUGAUGAGUCUUGUGAACAUAGAGGAUCAGGUCGUGGUAAGCUGGCUAAAUCACUAGGUAGAACUAAGACUAUACAGGCAUUGUUUCCUGUAUGAUUAGAAACAACUGCAGGAAAUAGCAUUUGGAAAGGCAUGGACAUUGGAAAGCUGGCCAUUAGCAAGACUAAACAGCGUGUGCUGUCUUUGAAUGUGACAGAUCUACCUCAGGAAAGGACUGAAAUCUAGAGCUCCAACAGGAAAAUGCAGGACCAGGCAUUCUUUCACAUCAUGUUCAUGUAAGAAACAUGAGCACUGAGCCUUGGCUUGUUCUCUCAUAAAGUACUUGUGUAAAACUGCUAGACCAAUAUCUCUCUGAAAUUUGUUCCUCAGAAUCCUUGUUCUGUGUCAGAAUUUCACAAGUGUUUGAUUCUUAUCUUAGUGCUUUGAACACUAUAAGCAUCUAAGUAGGCUCAAACGCAUUAUCGCACUAGCCUUUAAUGUAUUGGGGACCACUGAUUUGUACUGCCAGGUUAUCACAAUCGAGUUACAUCAAGUUGGAGCACCAGUCUUGAAAGAGUGUAUGUCAUGUGUUAUGAGAGCAUUUAUGUAACACUGAAAUAACAAAACUAGAGAUGGAGGGGUAGAUGCAGCAAGGAGUUUAGAAAUGGAAGCCAAGAGGUGGCGUGGUUCAGACGUAGCAUAAAGGGUCUUGAGGGACAGAAGGAGCUCGGUAUUAGCUGUGACUGCACAAAGGUCUGAAUGUGUUAGAGUUGUGUCUGAUGUGAGAUCUGAGUACCACUGCAGCACAUCAAGGUCAAAGGCCUGGUUAUGAGAGUGAACUAGUUAUGUCAUCAAGGAGACUGGCUGAAGAGUGUGUCCGGUAGUUUUCUUUCUUUUUGCAAGUUUCUGUGUCUAUAAUUACAGAAAUUUAAAAAGG